GCAAGCACACAGAUCCUCUCUUCUCUCCAUGUAGUCACUACUUGGGGAAGGGGAAUGGGUGGUAUCAGCAAUUCAAGACUGAUUUCUUUUCCAUCUUCAGCGCCCCUUUCCUUGAUAUGAUGUUAAAACCAGAACAAGAAACAGAUCGAGGAAGAGGCAGAGUAACAACAGCCGGGAAGAAGAUACAGUUUUGUUAACAUUUAUGUUUUUAUAUAUUAUAUCAAAACUAGAAAAAGAGUUGACAUCCAGGAAAUAAAGAAGCAAGAAAAAAGUCAUUUUGUAGUGAGACUGUGCCCUAUACAUGAACCUAUUUGCCAGACCCAUCAAUGCCAUUAGACCUGUGAGAGGGGCUGUGACAGUGGAACCCGAAUGAAGACAGGAAAAGUCUGUAGAGGACUGAUGGUUAUGUUCACCAUUCAAAUUGCAAGAAAACCAAUAAGAAGUCAGUAAAGUGCAUUCAAAGAGAAAGGUGGGACUCGUGAAGCAGCAAUACUAAACUGAUACACAAAGGAUCCCCGUACUUCAUCAAAAUAUCAAUGUUGUCCAUGACACACAAAGAACCCAGCUGUAGUUUAAUUCAGCAUCACAGUCCCAACAUGUUUUAAAACAUGUUCCAGCUUUUGGUCCCAGGAUUAUUCAACCUAGCUCAUAAAAGAAAACAAUAUUGCAUUUCUAAGUAUUGGCUCCUAGAAUUGGCAAGUUUAGUCAAGAAAAGCUGGAAUGCCGUUAAAACAACACCCUGUCAUCUUUCAAUCAGUCCUUAGCUGAAGUUAAAAUCCCACUCAUUCUGCAUGAUCCAGCCUCUGUAGCAUAGAGUGAGUAGCCCCUUAACAAGAACCAAAAUGGAGGGUACGGAUGAGGCUCAGAUCGUCACCACCUGGAGAAUAGAGACAGUGACUGAGUCACCAGGAAAUCUGUCCCCUGCUCAUCCCAGAAUCCCCGAGCUUUGACUUUUUAAGAGAACAUGUGACAGAUAAUGCCAUCUGAGAAGCUUAGGCAACUCAGUCAUCAAUGUGUCCUCGAGAAGAGCAUAUCCCCAAAUUGGAAAAUAAUCCUUCAGGGCAUCUGAACAUAACCACAUUUGGCUUACUUUGUGAAGCAGUUGUCUGAAUAGAAUAAGACUGGCUUGGAACGAGAUUCACAGAGCAACCAAAUAAAGAUGAUUGAGUGAAUGGCUAAAGAAAUAAAUAUGUUCGAAUCUGUACCCAUCUCAUGUCUUUCCUGAUGAUUGCCUCCUUUACUGUAUGUUUUCCACUGAGAUGAAGAUUUUGGUCAUUUCCUCAUUCAUGUUCCUGCUUUUCAAAACCCAAGCAAGAAAGGAAACUUCUACAGUGACUUUCUCAUUAUGAAAUCUUAGCAUUCACUAGUCGGCCAUAAUGGAAAACCAGCCAAAUGGACACAUAUACACUGGUCUGUACCCGCAGAGAAAGAAAUGCAAAUCUCUGUGAUCAGAAAACUAUCCUAUCUUGUACAUUGUUAAAAGUCUGCCUCCAAAAAGUUUACUUCUGGAAUACUGUAAUUGAAUAGAAUCAGGGAUCCUACCUGUGUCCUUCAACUUUCACAUCUUGUCUACUCAAGUAAGGGUUGAAUUUGCAUGACUAUAUCUAAGGUUCGAGGGCUUACCUGUUGGCAGUAGACCCAGUAGUCUAUGAAUGGAAAUGGGCAAACCUGUGACCUCCCAAAACUUUAAUAUGAAAGUUUUGUUUGUGUAUACUCAUGGCAUUAUUCUUUUAAUAAAGAGAUAAUCUAUAUAGUUUUCUUUUUUAAAA
rnacentral:lncRNA from 1 species